rnacentral:rRNA from 1 species
UACGUAGGGCGCAAGCGUUGUCCGGAUUCACUGGGUGUAAAGGGCGCGCAGGCGGGAAAGUAAGUUAGAGGUGAAAUCUCACAGCUCAACUGUGAAACGGCCUUUGAUACUGCUUUUCUUGAGUUAGGGAGAGGUUGAUGGAAUUCCAGGUGUAGCGGUGAAAUGCGUAGAUAUCGGGAGGAACACCCGUGGCUAAGGCGGUUCUCUAGUACGGUACUGACGCUGAGACGCGAAAGCGUGGGGAGCGAACAGG